CGCACUCGGGGCCGCAGUCCUCUACCCCUGCGUGGCGUAUGACUGUGGACCCCAGCGUGCUCGGAAUAAAAAUCCUCUUGCUGUUUGCAUCAAGACCGCUUCUCUCAUUCGUGUUGUGGUUUAUUCUUGCGGUGAAAACACUGGAGAGGUGAGAACGUUUUCAACUCUCGACAAGCAACUGCAUCACGUGGGGUUUCCACCUUUUCUCUGGGGCAAGAGGAGCCUGGGACGCAGCAUCCCAGGUAACCCUGAGAAAACUGCUCCAAGGAGGCAAGUGGGAAGCCAGGACGCAUAGGAGUCGUGGAAUAAAGGACAAGCAGAGUCCACACCAGAGUUUACCGUUAGCGAGAGAAAAACCAGGUCUUUGAAGCUACCAAACUCCUGGGCGUCUCCUUCCUACAGCCAUGCUGUCCCCUCGUCUUACUAAACUGAGUGGUGGUGACCCCUGAAAGCACCAACGGGUGUAGGCCCAGGUUGUGUUAAGGCAGCAGUCCGGCCCCAGGCCAGCGGCAUGGCUCUGGUCAUGAAAGGGCCGCCAGUACUGAGGGAUGGGGCAGGACCUGCAGAGCCGACCUCGUGAAGACUUCUGAGCACUCCUCAUGCUGAAGAGUAUUAGUAACCUCGGCACAGCUCCGCUCCAGAGAGAGCACAUGAAUCGAUGAUCAGCACCUAAAAAAUCACCACCAUCUUAUUAUUUAAAAUAAGUCUUCAGAAAAGUGUUAGUUUUCAUUAAGAACCAAAACUUAGUGUCUAGCAUCCAUGCUCUUUUACUUCAAGUGAAAAAAAAUUUUUUUUUCAUAUACUGGGUACAAUUCACACACUAGAUUGAGUGAAUGAUGCAUUUUUCAGCUCGUAACUUUGUGGAUAUUUUGGCCUAACUUUGGACUCACUAAUGUCUUUAUGAUUUCAUAAUGUCCUUGCAGGUUUUUUAAAAAAUGUAAUGGCCUUGAAAUUCUUGAAAUUCUUCCUUUAAGGUGUAAAUUGCUGCAGGAAUGCUUCAAUUUUUUUUUUUUUUUUUGUCUUUUUGCCUUUUGAGGGCCGAUCCAGCGGCAUAUGGA